rnacentral:misc_RNA from 1 species
UCGAGUUCUGAUAAUUCAUUAUCAAAACUUCAUCCUUUGUUUAUACAAAUUGUAUACUUUGGCAAGACGCUUUGACUUGAAGUUGGAGAAUAUUCAGCCACAAGAAGAAGCCACUGACGUCAUCCGAUGUGAGUGCGUUUUGCUUGCCAAAGGUCUUAACUCUUUUAUACUGUUGUCUGAGUACUACAAAAAUAAAUUA